rfam:Rhodnius prolixus Rhodnius_prolixus-3.0.3-119.57, whole genome shotgun sequence.
AUCGCUUUUCGGCCUUCUGGCUAAGAUCAAAGUGUAGUAUCUGUUCUUAUCAGCUUAAUCUCUGGUACGGCUUCCAUGAGACCUGUAAAGCUAAGAUGUAUUGUGGUAUUGGGUUCGAUUCCCCGGGGUCCUAGGCCUUGGAUUUUAUUUAAUGGUUAAUAUGAGAAAUUUAU